GAUGAACGCUGGCGGCGUGCCUAAUACAUGCAAGUCGAGCGAACAGACGAGGAGCUUGCUCCUUUGACGUUAGCGGCGGACGGGUGAGUAACACGUGGGUAACCUACCUAUAAGACUGGGAUAACUUCGGGAAACCGGAGCUAAUACCGGAUAAUAUUUCGAACCGCAUGGUUCGAUAGUGAAAGAUGGCUCUGCUAUCACUUAUAGAUGGACCUGCGCCGUAUUAGCUAGUUGGUAAGGUAACGGCUUACCAAGGCAACGAUACGUAGCCGACCUGAGAGGGUGAUCGGCCACACUGGAACUGAGACACGGUCCAGACUCCUACGGGAGGCAGCAGUAGGGAAUCUUCCGCAAUGGGCGAAAGCCUGACGGAGCAACGCCGCGUGAGUGAUGAAGGUCUUCGGAUCGUAAAACUCUGUUAUUAGGGAAGAACAAACGUGUAAGUAACUGAGCACGUCUUGACGGUACCUAAUCAGAAAGCCACGGCUAACUACGUG
rnacentral:rRNA from 1 species